rnacentral:tRNA from 1 species
AAUAUACAAGCUUUAAGCAUUAAAUUGUAAAUUUAAAUUUUAAUUAUAUUA